UGCCACCUUUCUGCCUCAAUUCGACACCGUCGCUCACCUCCACUCACCUCUCCUCCGACUAGCCUGUCUCUGCCGCAGGUGUGCACACACACACAGAGAGAGAGACAGACAGACACAGACACCGUUCUACUGAUCGUGCUCUGUCGGCGUCUCUCUCGCUCGCUCUGCCUCGCAGAAGCCACGUGCAGGUGCGUGUGGUGGUGUGUCUUCGCGCCGCUUUCCAUUUUGUGUGUUUGCCAAACUGGGGUCUUGGCAUCGUUGCCGGUGGCUCAUCCCACACGCACACCAUGAGUGGCGGGAGCACGGCAUUGAAACUGCAGCGGUUGCUGGAGGCAGAAGGGGCCUUUAUCCACUCCGCGCUGCAGGUCCGUGCGCUGCCGUCGAUGGGCGGCGGUAUGGGUGUGGUGCUUACAGAGAAGCUUGCAGCCGGUGCCAUAUUGGCUCACUUUCCUUUUCGAUCCAUGAUCACGGCACGAAAGGCGCGAUUCAACUUGGCGAUGACGGAGGUCGCGCUUGAGCUGCUCGAGGGUCACGUGGCAGCUGCUUCUACGAACAAUGAUAGCGAAGGCGAUAACGGGACUGCGGGGCCAUGCGCUGCUACCGACGUUCUGCGUGUCAUUCCGUUCGCCUCGCGUGUCUGGUCCGAAUACGAGUUUGAGACGCGCGUGCGCUCGCGGCGCCUGCGCCAGCUCAUUGACGCCAAGGUGGAGGAGCUGGCAGAGGCCCUCGACAGUACCGAGACCAUUGUGUGCUAUGUGUUGCUCAUGGCGGCCCUCUACGGCCGUUUGUCUAAGCACGCGCGCCUCCGGAGGAGUGGUGCAGGCGACGGCGCUGCAGAUGAGGAAGCUUCCGUCUUAGCUACGGAGGCGUGCUCUUGUGAAGAUGAGGCGGGACCGGCACCUACACUGCACUACACGCACGAGAACGCGUGGAUGCGGACGUGGAUUCACGCACUGCCGGGGCAGUAUGACAACCUACUCGAGCUUGUCCCGGUGCCGGAAGACUCGCCGCCAUGCUUAGCGCAACACGGCACAGAGCCGGCGUGCGCAGCGCGUGCGCCGAGUGUGUUGCCGGGGAAUGCAACGGCGGCGUCAUCGCCACCUCCACUUCUUGCUCGUGUCUCUGCAUACGCUGAGUCAUCUGGUUGGCUCCGCUCGUACGUCUCACUGCGCCGCUUUCAAGCGAGUGUGGCGCGCGAGCAGCAGGCUAUUCAGCGGCGGCACGCCAAGUGCUGCGCGGCGCUGCGAUGCUUGCAGCGUCUGCCAAGGGGUGUCGAGGUGACAGCGGAGUUUGAGGAUGAAGGACAUGGCGCAGCGGCGCCUCAAACCGGUGGCGUUGCCAGCUGUGGGUCUUCGCCUUCUUCCAGCCAACAAGACUGUGGCCGCCGUGACCAUGGAGCCACGUGCACACUUGGACAGUUUCUGUGGGCAUUCAACACGCUGAUGAGUCGCGGCUUUUACUUCCCUGAGGAGACAUGGGCGGUGAUGCCGUUUGUCGACUACUUCAACUACGCCCUGGAGUCGAACGGGACGAUGUACCCUCAAGAAGAUGACCCCGAAGAUCCGGAGUGCUUCACAAAUCUGUUGCUGGCGAAGAACGGCUGCAACGGGAUCGGCAGCGUUGCGCCGCUCAUGGCUGCGGCCGCACCGCGCAAACAACAGCGGCGCACUGCCCUGCGCACCGCGCGGGGCGGCAAGGCCGAGGUGCCGCUCGCUAACUACCAAACAUACGAGUUUCAGCUCGUUCGGCCGACGUGCCCACCCAGCGAGCAGGUGAUGCUGCACUACGGUGCCUACUCGGAUGUGGAGCUGCUCAUGUGGUACGGGUUCACCUUGCGACCCUCGCUGCUGCCUGCGCCACAGUUGGCAGCCGCGCCGGAGGGUCGUAAGAAGGGGACCAUUCCGGUAUUGCCGCCGUCUUUGAGCGACGCCGACGGUUCCUUGAUACAUGCUGCGCACGGGCUGCGGCUGGCGCUUUCUCAGUUGGCCUCCGCCACAACACGCGUGGCCUACUACCGGCGGUGUGUCGCGCCGUUACGCCGGUGCGACGGCGCCGAGGCGAGCGAUGGGGACGAGGCGGCGGCGUGUAAAACUUGGCUCGCCGCACUCCAUUGCGCCUAUCGCCUGCCACUGUCCCCCAUCGCCAACGCGGAGGGUAAGUACCCGGAGGUCACACCAGGGGUUACGUGGCUCGACGAGCUGCUGAGUGCGUUUGCCCAAACGCCGGCAGUGGCGGCACCCUGCGCGGAGGCAGCGUCCGAGGACGAAGCUGCCUACCGCAUCGAUGCAUGGAUGCGACGCUGGGGCAGCGAGCGGUGGCCCGGGUUCGCCGCGUCGGCGUUUCCGAACAUCACCAAAGGAUGCGCCUUGGGAGUGCUGGGACUGUCUCCGGUCCUUCGUGCUGCAGUUCACAGCAGCUUCUGGACCCCUACUCCAGAGCGAAUGUCGCUGAGUGCGGAGGAGCGCCUACUCGUGGUGCGCGGCUUGGCGUGGGCGGAGCUGUACGUGAACAUGACAGCUGCGGCGCGCGCAGACGGGCUGACGACAUCCUCCGUCCCCGCAAGCACCGCCGCUGCUGAGUUUGCCCGUACGAUGUCUGUGGAUCAGUGGACACUGCUGCGCUUUCUCGCAUUGGAGUGCACCGAUGCCGCGCUGGAGGAGUACGUCGAGUACGUCUCGGAGAGCGAGCGGUAGGCAGCGAGGGGGGAGGGUGAGCCUCGUUGAUCGAUGCUACGUGAGUGUCUCUGCCCGUGUUUACAUGCCUCCUACUUUCUAUUCUUUUCCUUUCGAGUAAAUCAGUGUUCCAGUGAGUCCCAAGCCCCCGCUAAGAGGGAUGUGUGUGUGUGUGUGUGUGUGUGUCGGUAUGAACAGUGCCGUGCUCCGCCUUCAGAGAGAGAAGGACCGAAGCACAGCACACGAGAUCCUGUGUCCGUCUUUGCACCCCCACUGUACUCGCGUCACGCACCUUUCUCGCCCGUGCGCUGGCUGCACCCAGAAUGGCAUUUCUUUUCUCCCGGCCACCCCUCUCAGCGCGCGGUAUCUCAGGGCCCAGUGCCCCCUCAACUCUGUGUGUGGGAGGAGGCCCAGCAGCAGCCCCCACCCCUAUUCCUGCCAAACGCCGAACCACCUCCGGCGGUGACAGGCUCAGGCACCUGCGACAUGGCGAGGUCAGAGCGACGUAUCGCUACAGAUGUCGGCGGUCAGGUCCUGGCCUGCGUGGCGUCGGAGCAGCCUGCGAGACGGCUGUUGGUGGGUAGAGCUUGAGUCGCGAGGGCCGUGCUCCCUGAUGACCGAGUCGGCGCGCUGCUGUGCCGCGUGUGCCCAAGGCUGCUUCGCAUCCCGCGAUGGGGCCCGUGGCAGGAGGGGCCGGGGGCAGUGUGGCGUUGAGCGCGUGCUGUGCGGCAGAGGGGGUGGGUGGGGCAUGGCCUCACGCUGCAGAAAGGGAAACGUGUCUCCCUUCUCUUCCCAGUUUUGUUCGCUACCUUCUCAACGAACGGACGCCCGCGUACGCGUGCUUGCAUGCAUGGCGCACCCGGCCACACCGCCACGUCGUGGAUUCCCUGCGCGUCUGCAUCCUUUCGAAUAUAAAGGGCGUCGGCGGUACAUGUGUGCGCGUGUCUGUGCUCGCCUCCUCCCCGGAUGAAGUGAUUCUGUCGCUGCUCUCUGUUAUCAUAGUCGUCUCCACGUUUCGUAUCGACUUGUCGCGAGCUUCGAGCGCUCCCGAGCCCUGUCUCUGUGCCUCCGCGCAG
rnacentral:misc_RNA from 1 species